UCUAUAGCUCUGUCAUUACAUCAAAAAUGAAAAGUACAAGUUAAAAUAUAAAUAAAAUUACAAAAGUCCUAUCUAUGCAGCUUCUUUUGGACUCUUGACUUGAGUUUCAUCACCCUAUUCUUCAGGCGGGCUCCUGACUCGCAAUUUUCUUCAACUUGUUGCCUGGCUUUUAAUUUCUUCACUUUAUUUCUUGACUUUUAAUUUCUUCACCCUGUUCUGCAAGCAGGCUACUAACUUGCUAUUUUCAAUCUUUUGACUUUUAAUUUGUUCACCCUAGUCUCCAGGCG
rnacentral:lncRNA from 1 species